GCUGUCCUGGACCUUCCAGCACCUCAGAGAGAGCUAUUCUCCUGUGCCUGUGACAUCAGGGCAAAAAGUAAGUGGCUAUUUCUACACGCAGUGUUCAGAGGUCAGUGAGCACUAAGAAUGUCAUAUAGCCUUACAUUU
ensembl:snoRNA predicted gene, 23377